rnacentral:rRNA from 1 species
AGUGAACGCUGGCGGUAGGCCUAACACAUGCAAGUCGAACGGCAGCACAGUAAGAGCUUGCUCUUACGGGUGGUGAGUGGCGGACGGGUGAGGAAUACAUCGGAAUCUACUUUUUCGUGGGGGAUAACGUAGGGAAACUUACGCUAAUACCGCAUACGACCUACGGGUGAAAGCAGGGGAUCUUCGGACCUUGCGCGAUUGAAUGAGCCGAUGUCGGAUUAGCUAGUUGGCGGGGUAAAGGCCCACCAAGGCGACGAUCCGUAGCUGGUCUGGGAGGAUGAUCAGCCACACUGGAACUGAGACACGGUCCAGACUCCUACGGGAGGCAGCAGUGGGGAAUAUUGGACAAUGGGCGCAAGCCUGAUCCAGCCAUACCGCGUGGGUGAAGAAGGCCUUCGGGUUGUAAAGCCCUUUUGUUGGGAAAGAAAAGCAGCAGGUUAAUACCCCGCUGUUCUGACGGUACCCAAAGAGUAAGCACCGGCUAACUUCGUG